rnacentral:rRNA from 1 species
UACGUAGGGUGCAAGCGUUAAUCGGAGUUACUGGGCGUAAAGCGUGCGCAGGCGGUUAUGUAAGACAGGUGUGAAAUCCCCGGGCUUAACCUGGGAAUUGCAUUUGUGACUGCAUGGCUAGAGUGUGUCAGAGGGGGGUAGAAUUCCACGUGUAGCAGUGAAAUGCGUAGAUAUGUGGAGGAAUACCGAUGGCGAAGGCAGCCCCCUGGGAUAACACUGACGCUCAUGCACGAAAGCGUGGGGAGCAAACAGG